rnacentral:rRNA from 1 species
UACGUAGGGUGCGAGCGUUAAUCGGAAUUACUGGGCGUAAAGCGUGCGCAGGCGGCUUUGCAAGACAGAUGUGAAAUCCCCGGGCUCAACCUGGGAACUGCAUUUGUGACUGCAAGGCUAGAGUACGGCAGAGGGGGAUGGAAUUCCUCGUGUAGCAGUGAAAUGCGUAGAUAUGCGGAGGAACACCAAUGGCGAAGGCAAUCCCCUGGGCCUGUACUGACGCUCAUGCACGAAAGCGUGGGGAGCAAACAGG